rnacentral:rRNA from 1 species
GCUCAAGCACCACCAAGACCCUGUCCGCCAGAUGAUUACGAGCGAAAGCCUAAAACUCAAAAGACUUGACGGUGUCCCAACCUUCCUAGAGGAGCCUGUUCCAUAAUCGACAACCCACGAUACACCUAACCGCCCUUAGAACCAAAACCCUUUCAGCCUAUAUACCGCCGUCGCACAGCUUACCUUUAAAAGUAUUUAAGUAAGCCAAAUAGUACGAUACUAAAAAGUCAGGUCAAGGUGUAGCUUAUAGGGCGGAGGAAAUGGGCUACAUUAUUUAUACUAAAUUAAACGAACUUUCAAUAUCUCCCUGAAAAAGAAAAUGAAGGCGGAUUUAGCAGUAAUUUAAACAAGAAUAUUUAAAUUAACACUAGCUCUGGGACAUGUACACA